CAACACGUACACAACCUACCUUUAAGAGGGGAAUAGCCCAGAGAAAUUUGGAUUAAUACCCCGUAAGAUAUCAAGGUGGCAUCACCAGGAUAUUAAAGCCUGCAAGGGUGUUUGAAGAUGGGUGUGCGUCUGAUUAGGUAGUUGGUGAGGGUAACGGCCCACCAAGCCUGCGAUCAGUAACUGGUGUGAGAGCACGACCAGUCACACGGGCACUGAGACACGGGCCCG
rnacentral:rRNA from 1 species